rnacentral:rRNA from 1 species
UACGAAGGGGGCUAGCGUUGCUCGGAAUUACUGGGCGUAAAGGGCGCGUAGGCGGCGCUGCAAGUCAGGCGUGAAAUUCCUGGGCUUAACCUGGGGGCUGCGCUUGAGACUGUGGUGCUAGAGGACGGAAGGGGCUCGUGGAAUUCCCAGUGUAGAGGUGAAAUUCGUAGAUAUUCGGAAGAACACCAGUGGCGAAGGCGGCUCACUGGACUGGUAUUGACGCUGAGGUGCGAAAGCGUGGGGAGCAAACAGG